GAGGUACCGUCAAUCGGGCACCCUAUUCAGGUACCCGGCAUUNUUCCCCCUGACAGUGGUUUACACCCCGAAAGGCUUCCUCCCACACGCGGCGUCGCUGCGUCAGACUUUCGUCCAUUGCGCAAUAUUCCCC
rnacentral:rRNA from 1 species